CAGACCUCCGAUCUUCAAGCCAAAUGUGAUUCUGUCUCCGGUAAAAUCUCCGCCCUGGCCUCCUUCCUCUGCCUGGCUCUUGCUUGUUUGCCCAGGCUUUUCGUCGCCGAUGUGGGUUUGGGGGCGACGUUCUUCCUCCAGGGUCUUUGGGUGCUGCAGACGGGGCUUUCGCUCUAUGUCGAAGCCUUCAUUCCUGAAGGGUGUCACAGGUUGCUGGAUGUGGUGAGUGGCGUGGAGGGAUCCACCAAGUGCGAUUUGGAGGAAUCCCGGCUCAGGG
rnacentral:lncRNA from 1 species